rnacentral:misc_RNA from 1 species
UCCGAGUUGACCCCGGCAGUCUCCUGCGAGUCCCCGCCAUUACGCGCUGGCAACACAGGACAAGGGUUGCGCUCGUUGCGGGACUUAACCCAACAUCUCACGACACGUCUCUGCGCCGUUCCGGUUCAUGUCAAGCCUUGGUAAGGUUCUUCGCGUUGCAUCGAAUUAAUCCGCAUGCUCCGCCGCUUGUGCGGGCCCCCGUCAAUUCCUUUGAGUUUUAGCCUUGCGGCCGUACUCCCCAGGCGGGGCACUUAAUGCGUUAGCUACGGCGCGGAAAACGUGGAAUGUCCCCCACACCUAGUGCCCAACGUUUACGGCAUGGACUAC